rnacentral:sRNA from 1 species
GCCGGGUGUGGUGGUGCAUGCCUGUAAUCCCAGCAGCCCGGGAGGCUGAGGCAGGGGGAUCACGAAUUCAAAGCCACGCUCAGCAAAAGUGAGGCACUAAGCAACUCAGGGAGACCUUGUCUCUA